rnacentral:SRP_RNA from 1 species
GCCGAGCUAAGUAGCGUUAGCUUGUGACUCAAGUGAGGGCAUUAGAUUGGUGGAACAAUGGCUCGACUCACUUGGUAGGGCUGGCCAUGUGCAUAUUGCUGGCUUGCCCGUUUCAAGUUGGGAGUUGGGUCAUGUGACUUGGGCGAAGGCUCGAGUCAUUUAACCCCUAUAGUGGAGGGCACCGCGUAAGGCUGGCUUCACAGAGCAACGAGAACCUCCCGCUCUCAACGGUGGAAGGAUAACGAGCUGGUGCACUGUCAGCCCAUCAAUGCCUGGUGGGUUGUGAUCAAUUGAACCACCAAUUUU